GCAGGUGGUGAAGGAGUACAGUAACAGCAAAUGCCACAGUGCGAGAUUCUGCCCUUCAGAGGUGCUGAAAGCCCCUUGGACUUGAAGAAUAUACUGAAUUUCCACUGUCUUCAGCAGAAGAAGAAAAUAUUCAGCACCAGACAUUUCAGAUGAAAUCCAGCUGAAUCACUGGGCCAGCAGCCACCCCAAAUAAUUGAGGCCAUUCAUUUCAGAAGAAUUAUAUCAAUGUUGUUUGCCCAGGAAGCAGAAGACUCUAGACUAGUCACCCAAGCAGUGACUUCGGGACUGGAGACCUGUAAUUUGAAUCACUAAUAGCUUUCCUGCUGCUCUUCAUCCAUGCAAGUUCAUUUUGCUUGAGGUCAUCUGAUGGACAUGGGACCAAAUGAGAAAUACUUCAAGCAUAUGAAUGAAGAUAACAAGUGGAGAAAAGAAGAAAAGAAUCAAAUUCAGUGGGAGGAGAAGGAGGAAGGAGGUGACAAGGAAAUGGUAACUCCCCAGUGUAAAUACCCUAUAUAGCUCUCCUACUCAGAGUCUGCAUUAUAAACUGAGGGUUGUCCAAAGUCUCAUUCCCUCUCCUCUUGCUCAUCUCCACUCCAUGUGACUCCAGCCCAGAGGAGGCCUGCUGAGACUGCGUCUCUGUGUCUGUGCACAAAAGGACCUCUUGUACCUGCUCAUCUUUCGGGUAUGUUCUUCAUUCAACACCACCAGGAAUAUGUUUCUGAUUAGCUAGAAAAAGAACAUGUUCUAUUUCACAUUGAACCUCCCUUCAGGGAAAAGCAAACAAACGUGUUUAAAUUGCAGGAAGAAAAAAUUCACCAAUUCAAAGCAGUCUGAUGGGUCUCUAAACUCAAAACAGAAGCAUGGGAGGUUUGCCCACCGGUAUGAAUAUGUGAGUCUGAAUCACCAGAGAGGGAGGCCAGCAUGCCAGCAGAGCUCUCCCUUCGCUGUGUCAGGAAAAAUCAAGGGCCCUGUGUGAACUGGGAAUUCAUCAGUGUCUGGCAGUAAUCUCCACACACAUCUCUGCUGUCUGCAGGCAGGCAGUCUUGCAAACAGAUGAGCAUUGAGCCCAUGCCCCGGGGGAUGUUACCACCCCUCGGACCUGCGAGACACCGAACCCGGCAUCCCUCCGUCAGAGCCCCUUCUGUACCUGCUCCUGUUCAUCACUGAACUUGUCCGUAGAAACUAUUAGAUAAAACAACCUUUGCAAGCCUCUAAAUAAUAGCUGUGCUGCAGUAACAAGCCAGUCAUGUCUUUCAAAAGCUUGGGAAAAGUUGUACUCUGUUCAAAACAAUACUUUUAUUUCCAACUUUUUAACAGAGACCAGCUUCUAAAUAUGAUAUCGUUUUGCUAGUCUUUCUGGAAGUCAACCUUUCUGACUGUUUUUCUUUGGCAUCUGCUAUUCCAGCAAGGAAUGAUCUUAAUAAUUUUAUAGAGAGUUGGUUGGAUUUUUCAUCUUGCAGUUAUUAGAAAAGCAAUGCUCAUGAAUUGGUCAGUGUUUCCAAUAUAUUACAGUUUGCAUCUCCAAAGUUGAAGCAAUAAUGAUUUUAUUCUUUUUUUAUUUGGGCACAUCGUAGGAACAACACAAAUUUUCAGUUUGGCCUGCCUGUAGGCUCUGUCCUGCCCUGUUUGCUGGCUUCUCUGCUUGUCCUUUGUGCUGAGUGACAGCAAAAAGGUUUCUUCUCAGUAGGCAAAAGGGUUAUGGGUUUUUUUGUUCUGUCUGGCAUCUGUUCACAAAAUAAAAACCCACAAAAUUGAAGGCAUGAUGUCAUAGAGAUGUAUCCGAACUUUAAACCUCUGCUGAUGCUGCAUGUCUCAGUUUGGGAGGAGGGGUAGUAUCAUUAGAUACCUUAAAUUAACCUGAUUUUCAGGAAAUACAGAUUCUGAAAGGGGUUCCCUUUUAAAAGUACAUCGAAGUAGGCAAUUCCAUUCAAACUUUUUUUGGACAGCAAUUUUUUCUCUUUUUCUUUUGUCUGUAUCUGUUCAAUUUUACCACCUUGUUCUUGCAAACCUUUUCUUCAGCUGUGGAAUUUCCAUACCUAAUAGCUAAACAUCAAGUGAAAAGUUGCUGCUGUCUUAAAAGGAUCCUAAAAACAUGCUUCCCUCCUUUCCAUCUAAUAACUCUGUGAGGCAGGCAUAGACAUCCUAGUAACUGACAUCUAUUUUAAUUGUGAAACUAUUAUAUGAAAAUACUCAUUAAAUUCUUAUUAAGGAGCUAUUUUUGUUUCAUUGUGCAUUUUUUUUCCAAAAUGCAAGUCAUCUGAGUCAAAAAUAUUAUCACAGCAGGAUUUUCCCAUAGGAUAUAUGCUCUGUUUUAUUUUUUACUCAUUUUGUCCUUUGUAUUUAUAUGUUUAUUUUUUAAUAAAUAUUUGUAUGUAGUGCAUUCAGUAACCACAGCAAUGCCUGUUUCUAGUGAGAAUAGAGUAUUAACAAUAUCUGAGGCUUGGUAGCCACCUUCAUGUAUUUUUCAAGGGAUGACAAAAUUCAAGCCAAAGACUUCCCGCUGCCCACAGUGCUUCUCCAUGCAGUACCAAGAGACAUAACAUGCAGGGACAGUGCUGCUCUCCUAAGAAUACCUAAUGCUGCAUAUUCCAUAGCUCUUUAGAAAAAAAGGUAUCUGAGGGGUCAGAAGGAGAGGAGGAAAGAGGCUGAGGGAUGUGGUCAGGCUUGAGACACAGAGAUUGUUCAAAAUUGACCAUACAGAAGAUACUGAGAUGCUACUUCACUAAAGUUUAACAUCUCAGCUUUAUGCUUUGAUACAGCAGUCCCUUUUCUCCUCUGUCUCUGAACUGAAAUCCCAGUUAGAGCUUUUCUUGGAUAAAACCAGUAUGAACAGCGUUAGGGGUUCAAUUUCCUAUUAUUGACAUAAAGACAUAUGCAAGUAAUGUAAGGGACAUAAAUGUAAGCAAUGUAAGGAUCUUAAAAUGACAUGCAGCUGGACUUUGUAAAGCUGAGAAGUCCUAUCUUGUUCUUCAUAAUUCCUUAGUGCACCCAUCAAUGCAUAUAACUGUGGAAUGGGAAUUUUACAGACAGAUAUUGAAAUUAAAAAUAUAUUGAUCAUUUGUGACAUUAACAAUUUAUUGUCUGUUGCAGCACCUGGCUCUCUGCUGUGUUGAACAUGAACCAUUACAGUUGCCUCAAAUACUUAAACAGAGGUCAGGCCCUAAAAUAAAACAGAAACCCAACUGUGCUGUCUCAGUCAGCCUCUCUUCUGUCCUUAGAAAUGAGCUUGAUCUUUCUCAAAUUACGUUAUCUCACUUCUCCCUGUUGAAGACUUUUUCCAUUGUGAACUCAGACAAUUAGUUUAAAAUUGUGCCUUUUGCCUGUUGUGGACACUCUUGCUGUAGCACAGAGAUAAAACUCUCUCUUUAUGGAACAGCAAAUAUGAUCAUCUUUUAU